GCAGAAGUGGCGGAACUGGCAGACGCGCAGGACUCAGAAUCCUGUGAUGGCGACAUUGUGAGGGUUCAAAUCCCUUCUUCUGCACCA
rnacentral:tRNA from 2 species